rnacentral:rRNA from 1 species
AUUGAACGCUGGCGGCAGGCCUAACUCAUGCAAGUCGAACGAGUGGCGGACGGGUGAGUAAUGUCUGGUAAACUGCCUGAUGGAGGGGGCUAACUACUGGAACCGGUAGCUAAUACCGCAUACCAUCAGAUGUUCCCAGAUGGGAUUAGCUAGUAGGUGGGGUAAUUGGUCACCUAGGCCACGAUCCCUAGCUGUUCUGAGAGGCUGACAAGCCACACUGUAACUGUGACACGGUCCGAACUCCUAAGGUGGGCAGCAUUGGGGAAUAUUGCACAAUGGGCGCAAGCCUGAUGCAGCCAGGCCGCGUGUGUGAAGAAGGCCUUCGGGUUGUAAAGCACUUUCAGCGAGGAGGCGUUACUCGCAGAAGAAGCACCGGAUAAAAAAGUGCCAGCAGCCGCGGUAAUAC